GGCUAGUCCUAAUGCAGUGGUGUUUACAACUAAUUGAUCACAACAAGCUACAGAAUUAUUUAUUCCUUCUCCACUUCCACUGCUUCACUUCACUAGCCUUUA
rnacentral:Y_RNA from 1 species